GACGUUACCUACAGAAGAAGCACUGGCUAACUCUGUGCCAGCAGCCGCGGUAAUACAGAGAGUGCAAGCGUUAAUCGGAAUUACUGGGCGUAAAGCGCGCGUAGGUGGAUACUUAAGUCGGAUGUGAAAGCCCUGGGCUUAACCUGGGAAUUGCACCCGAUACUGGGUAUCUCGAGUAUGGUAGAGGGAAGUGGAAUUUCCGGUGUAGCGGUGAAAUGCGUAGAUAUCGGAAAGAACACCAGUGGCGAAGGCGGCUUCCUGGACCAAUACUGACACUGAGGUGCGAAAGCGUGGGGAGCAAACAGGAUUAGAGACCCUGGUAGUCCACGCCGUCAACGAUGAGAACUAGCUGUUGGAGAGUUUACUUUCUAGUAGCGAAGCUAACGCGUUAAGUUCUCCGCCUGGGGAGUACGGCCGCAAGGUUAAAACUCAAAGAAAUUGACGGGGGCCCGCACAAGCGGUGGAGCAUGUGGUUUAAUUCGAUGCAACGCGAAAAACCUACCUAC
rnacentral:rRNA from 1 species